UAGGGUUUUGUUCGAAAUAAAAUAAGUUUUGGGUUUGCUUAGUCUCUCUUGCUCAAAGUAAAUCGCUCUUCCCUUUCGCUCACAGUCGUCUUCUAUCUCCAUACACAGAAACGCAAAUCGUCAAAUUGUCAUACUGGACCAACAUCAGAUCUCACGUCCUCUCGCCGUUGUGUCGAUGAGGACCAUUUUCCUCUGUCGCUACUAGGGCAAGUUGGUGUUCGUAUUUGUUGGUGAUGGUAAAGGUACGACGUGGUCUCUCGACACUUUCAAAGGGAUUGUAGAAAUUGGCAAGUUAGGUAAUUACGUGACUAUGCCAAUCAUUCUUACUUUUGCCAACAAUCCCCGCAACCUCAGCAAGUUCAUACGAAAUGUUGUUGUGAACAAACUUAAAAGGAAUGGAUUCCAAGGAAUCGGGGAAUUUCUUGUAGAGGAAACUAGCAAUUGUAGCAAUGUGCAUUCAGGAGGAAGCACAUACUCGACCUUUGAUCAGUGACAUGGUUAAAACCAUUAAUUUUUUAGCAAAGAUGCAACAUACAACAGAGACUUUUUUAAAGGACAGAGAAUGCAGUUGACAAAAGGAAUCUGAAAUGGUAUAAGAUUAGAGAAGAUUAAGAACAAUGAAUGUGUAACAUUUUUUUU